rnacentral:pre_miRNA from 1 species
AGAGUGGAAUGCAGCCAGGAAUGGUUUGCCGGCAUCUAUAUAUUGCUGCAAAAUUUGUUCUUGCAAUUGCUUUCGGCAAAUUAUUCUUGGCUAUAUUUGACUCUCU